AGCGAACGCUGGCGGCAGGCUUAACACAUGCAAGUCGAACGGGCAUAGCAAUAUGUCAGUGGCAGACGGGUGAGUAACGCGUGGGAACAUACCUCUUGGUUCGGAACAACACAGGGAAACUUGUGCUAAUACCGGAUAAGCCCUUACGGGGAAAGAUUUAUCGCCGAGAGAUUGGCCCGCGUCUGAUUAGCUAGUUGGUGUGGUAAAAGCGCACCAAGGCGACGAUCAGAGCUGGUCUGAGAGGAUGAUCAGCCACAUUGGGGACUGAGACACGGCCCAAACUCCUACGGGA
rnacentral:rRNA from 1 species